CACAGCUUAAAUCACAUUACCUUGUAAAAGUCUUUGGUUGUGAGAUUUAUACCCAAGUCUAGCCAUGGUUUUCACCAAGGGUAAAAUCAGGAUCAAAAGUAAACAGGGAAGCUUUUAGUACACUUUUACAAGAGUUUUUAUCAGUUACAAGUUCUUUUAGAAAUAUUUCAGAAAUGUGUACGGGCAAGUUGAGAAACAUGGCACCAGCGUGUCUAAAAGUUUUAGCACUGCAUAUUUCAGUGGUGCCAUUUCAGCUGUUGGUGCUCUAUGUGUGGACAUGGCAGGAACAUAAAUACAGGUUAUUAUGAACACAUAGUACUGUCCUUCUCAUCUCCCACAUACCUGCAAGUUAGCAGUUUCUUGUCGUCAAACUAUGCUUAUAAUAUUUUCCUGUGUUUCAAAUUCUCUUUUUAUCACAUGUAAAUAUAUAAUUACAUUUUGUUUCUAUCGAAAUCAAAAUGACUUCUACACGGAUUAUAUCUAACAUGCUAGAUCAUGCUAGAUUUCCUAUUCACAUUGACUUUUGUAACUCAUGCGUAGUAGCUAAAAAGUUGACACUUUAAUUUGAACCGAAAGCCCUGCAUUCCCAAGGCCCUAGCAAUGGUGUUCUCCGUGUACUGAUCAUCUGAUGUUCAGGCAACACAGUCUGACAUAUUUCUAAAGCAGACAUCCCCCCUUAUUAUCCAUCUGCGUUUUCUUUAUGAAACAUACAAGAUAGCAUUGUCACAUAGCUUAAUAAGAAUACACAGUCUACUGGUUUGUUGUAAUUCCGGCGGCUUUGUUCUUGCUCACUCCUUUCUUCUUGGUCUCUCCUUCUCUUUCAUGAUUGUUUUGCUGGUCAUGAUGAUAUCUCUUUGAAAAUGAGAAGAAAAGGGAAGGAAUCAGUGUUCAAUCUUUAGCAUCUGUAGCCAGCUACUACCUUCUCUUUUAUGUGUGUUUUAUUUUUGUCUUCCUCCCUUCUCCUUAUUGUAGUCCCUCUCGUCCCAGUAUGCACACACACAAACACACAGAACUUAUCAACUAUCAACUUUAUCUCAUCUUUACAACCGCACAACAAAGACAGCAGUGCAGUGCAGUUCCAUCUCUGAGAAAUCAGCAACUGUGAGAUAAUUCUGUAACUAAUAAAGUGAAAGGGGCCCUUUGAUGGCCGGAGCUGAAAAGAUACUUAAUUUUUUGUGUGUGGGAUUUGAGAUGUGUGAUUCUAUGGAGCGAGCUGGCUCCCCUGCUGCUAGGCUCUGGCUAGAAGCUGGCCCCCCUCUGGCUAAUGUUAUGGAGAAUCGGUGGAAUUUUAUGGCUGUCUUUUCCCUCAGCCCCCUCUUUUCUUUUGUUCCCCUUUGAAGAAUGACUUUAGACAUUUUAUUUACAUAUUUAACCAUGGAUGAAAGAAACACAGGGUGAAAAACGAAAGCUCCUUCAGUUCUUGUGGGAAUUUGGAUAAGUUUAAAUGAACCAAAAUUCUAUUAGCUUUUAUAAAUUAAUUUAAGUUAGUUUUUUCUCAAAUUGGGAGAUGCACAGACAGUCCGCCAGAAUAAUAGGGAUACCAUUGAAAAGGACACCAAUCUUGUUCUGAUAUCAAAUUUCAACAACUGUCUGGUAUGACAGCAAUUCAACCAAACCUUGUAAAGCUAAAUAUCUGAUUUAAUUACUUGUGGUUAAGGUGUAGCCCAGUCUGUUACAACAUGUGAGGUAUGCCAUGGAAGAGAGAGGGGGACGUUUUAGACAUGUUUUGUAUUGUUGGCGAAGCUGAAAGGGCAUUUUGAUUAAACGUACGGGUGGGGUAAGGGUAUAAUCUUCUUAACCAAGGCCUCCUCUCUUCAUUCAUGGCCCACAAUAAGAAGAAACAACACUCUGUUGGAGGUUAGACUAUUUAUUUAGAUGCCCUGCUCAUUGUUCAGAGGUCUUGUUGUCCAUUGCAAUUCCAUGCAUUUAUUUAACAUUAUAGAGCUUAGUUCGUUCUCCUAAACAUUUUUAAGUAUGUAUAUGUAGUAAAUUAGUUAUUACAGGGGAUAUUUUUUCAAUGAGACUCGGGUUUGUCAUUUAAUGGCCCUAUUUUUUCCUGUCAGUCAUAAGUUAUUAUGAGCCUAUUUGAUAACAUGAUUAUUUAAAAAAGGUGAUCAAAUGCUGCUUCUUUCCAGCCCAAAGUGUGUUACAUUAAAGAGAUGAAUAAAUAAAUGAGAAUAGAAAUUAAUGAAGAGUAAUAUAGAUUGUAGAGAAAUGAAUGAGAAAGCCUUGCUACGUCUACUAAGAAUGAAUAUUCAAACUUCCAUAAAUGUAUGGAGAAAUCAUAAAAAAGUAAAUAAAAAAAUAAAAUCAAUCCCAUUUGAAAUGCAAGAGCUUAAAUAAGAGCAUCAGUUUUGGUAAAGGGUCAGAUGUUUUGAGGAAAUGCGCAUGAAUCUGGCAAUUAAUUAUUUAAGAGCCCUGCAAAACAUCAAAGCUCCAUGUAUUCUUUGCACAUAUGGUUUUAAUAGUUCAAUCAAAAUAACUUAUUAAUGAGAGCUAAUUUGUCCUACUCUCUAUCUAUGCUUCAAGAAAAUCUACUUUUGUAUAUGCUACACAGUCUCACACAUCAUGGAUUUUGUGCGUUCUGUGUGUUUUAGUGACAGCUGAUGGUGUGAAAAUGGUUAGACAACAAAAACAGUUAAGGUUAGGUAACACUCCCACAUUGUUAAGGUUAGGGCUAAGGUUUUACAACAAAAACAGUUAAGGUUAUGUAACACUCCCACAUCGUUAAGGUUAGGGGUAAGGUUUUACAACAAAAACAGUUAAGGUUAGGUAACACUCCCACAUCGUUAAGGUUAGGGCUAAGGUUUUACAACAAAAACAGUUAAGGUUAAGUAACACUCCCACAUCGUUAAGGUUAGGGGUAAGGUUUUACAACAAAAACAGUUAAGGUUAGAUAACACUCCCACAUCGUUAAGGUUAGGGCUAAGGUUUUACAACAAAAACAGUUAAGGUUAGGUAACACUCCCACAUCGUUAAGGUUAGGGGUAAGGUUUUACAACAAAAACAGUUAAGGUUAGGUAACACUCCCACAUCGUUAAGGUUAGGGCUAAGGUUUACAACAAAAACAGUUAAGGUUAGGUAACAUUCCCACAUCGUUAAGGUUAGGGCUAAGGUUUACAACAAAAACAGUUAAGGUUAGGUAACACUCCCACAUCGUUAAGGUUAGGGCUAAGGUUUUACAACAAAAACAGUUAGGGUUAGUUAACUCCCGAAUAGUUGUAGUUCAAGGUAAGUUUAGACAUAAUUUUUUUUCACUCUGGUGAUUCAAACUCACAAGCACUGACUUACAAACCACCUAAUGCAUUUUUGCACAAAUCAGGUCUACAUAAAACACUCAAAAGUGCACAAAUUCCAUGAAAUUCUUUUUACUCUGAUUUGUGUGAAUUAGACCCUGUUGGUAUAUCUGAGUCACAAGCAGACAUCCUUAUAAUAGUUAGUUGUGCAGUGAUGUUGUGGCUACUGCAAGUCUUAAAGCCAUUUUGGAAAACCAACACACUGGUGGUAUGUAUCUGCUGUGUUGGUGGAUAAUUAAAGGGAGUUAAUAAGGGCAACUCACUGCUGGUGUUUAUAGUGUGGAUUAGUUGAGAGAUGAUGACAGAUACUUUCAAACAAAUGGGGCAAGUCUCACUGGCCCUCUAACAGUUUUGCAAUAAACACAGUGGUAUAAUGAAUUAUGUCUGUUGUGCAUCAGAUCCAAUAACUCUUGGAACUUCUUAGAAAAGGGAAAUGUUAGUAUAGUAGUUUGUUCUUACAUCAUCCUCCUUUCAAGUGGUCGUCAUUUGACACGCAUAUGAGGAGAAGAAGGCGUCCCCUCUGAGUCUGUUCACUAGCUCCAGGCAGAGCACUGAAGCAAAACAGUUACAGUUAACUUCUUGCAAAACACAUUUUUGCUGGGAAAGUCAUUUUGGAUCCGAUGGGAAUCUGUGUUUGCUGGACUUGUUUUUGCAUUUUAAUAAAACGUUUCUCAGAACAUGGUGUGACUUACUGACAUUACAGUUUGGAUGCAGCGACGAAUGAAGGAGGAAAAAACUGUUAGAAAGAGAGUAAACAACUUAAGGCUUCCAUUGGUGAAGAGAAUUGAUGGAAGUAUUACCCAGGGUCCUCGUGGGGGCACUUGAGUGUGAAUCGCUAAUCAGGAAGGCCUUCUCUUUUCUAAUCCCUCUUUGAGUGGCCGGCCUGGAAUGAGUACAUCUGGGGAGACUCCCCACUGCUUCUGGCUCUGGAGGUUCUAUUCAGAGCCACAGCCCUCCUGUACCAUUCCCACAGUCCGCUUACACUGUGCAGCACAGCCACGCACACUCACGAGCACGUGCACACACACAACACACACACACACACACACACACACAGGCAUGUACAGACACACACACACACAUUUCCUGCUUCAACCAAAUUAGAUUAGACCCUUUCCUUUUCUCCCUAGCAAAGCACUGUCCUUUUCUCUGCCCAGAGACCUUCUCCUACCCUUUUGUCUCUGUUCCAAAAUAGAGAAACAAGUUCCCAAACAAACCCCCCCUAUGAAAGUUCUGGUAUAGAAACAGGCGAGCGAAAGGCAGCCAUCUUUGAAUGGCCUUAUUUGAUUUCAUAAUAUCAAUACCCCAUUUGUUCAACUACCCUAAUGAGGAUGUUUUGUGGCUUGGUUGGCAGAGCAGUGAGAACAAGGCCAGCUGCGCUGCAUGUCAACCUGUUAGUUCACAGGGAAGGGAGCCCCCUUCGUUCACUAUUUCUGAGUGUCUCUUCAUUCUAUUCCCUAAUAUUGUCUUACGUUUUCUUCUCUUUGCUCAUAAAUCAUUCAGUGAAUACAUUUCAACUCAUUCAUUAUAUCCUGUCCAUGUUAACUGCGCUGUUUGUGAUUGGUGGAUGUGUACCUUCAUACACCGCUGUCCUGUGAUGUGUUCUCUUCUUCAUUCAUCAGCUGGGGAAACUCACAAUAUCAAAAUCUAUGUUGGAGUUUCAGAGACCCUCUCAAUAAAGGAAAAGAUAUAUGAAGACUCUGUUCCUGUUGAGUGUGCAGCCAAAGCCAUCCCAAAAGCAGCAAAUUGAGAUCAAAGCUAAAUUAAAGCUGACUCGUUCAAAGACAGAUAAAAAUGUGUGAGCCUGCAGCCAUGUUUUCACUAUUGAUUUCCUUCUCUGCCUGCUCUCCCUGGAACAGGGUUGGCUCUGUGCAGGGCUGGGAGGCUGCCUGGUGCUGAGAGAGAGAGAGAGUAAAUGAUUAUUGAUAAAGUCUCAACAACGAUAAUGAUGAUGACUAGAUAGUUAUCAUGCUGAGAGUCAUUGAGAUGACUGUUCUAUUUUAUAUGUAUGCCAUUGCCAUAGUUUCCCUACAGCUUGCUGUGAUGGUGCAUCAGUGGCCAUGUUAUGUUUGAUAUGUGUGUAUGGUCAAUGCCAGCAUCCAGGUGUUCGUUGAUAUCCAGAAAAUUAUAAUUUGC
ensembl:lncRNA